AGAGCAGCAACAAGAAAGUGCCUGAAUUUAAAAAGUUUAUUUAAGUGCUGAUACAAUGCUGCCAGAGCAACUAUAAUGCCAAGAACAGUUCAGUUUAGUGCAGUCUAUAAACUGAUCUACACGUGGCCAUACAUAU